rnacentral:rRNA from 1 species
GUGUCAGCCGCCGCGGUAAUACGGAAGGUCCAGGCGUUAUCCGGAUUUAUUGGGUUUAAAGGGAGCGUAGGCGGAUUGUUAAGUCAGCGGUUAAAGGGUGUGGCUCAACCAUGCAUUGCCGUUGAAACUGGCGAUCUUGAGUGCAGACAGGGAUGCCGGAAUUCGUGGUGUAGCGGUGAAAUGCUUAGAUAUCACGAAGGACUCCGAUCGCGAAGGCAGGUGUCCGGGCUGCAACUGACGCUGAGGCUCGAAAGUGUGGGUAUCAAACAGGAUUAGAUACCCUUGUAGUCC